rnacentral:lncRNA from 1 species
ACAGGCUUUAGCUACUUACCAUCGGAAAAAGUUGGCAACACUGAAUCUGGGCAAUCAGUUUUGCUCUCAAGUCUGGCCAUCUGGAAAGUACAUUGUCUGGCUGCUACCCGAACUGACCUGAUCAAGUUCAGAUCAGGGUUAACAACACCCACAUUCAAGGACACAUAGAGGCAGCUUCUGUGUUCUCUCUCUGAGUAUUGCUGACAGCUUUACUGCUGACAACAUUAUGUAAAUACAGGAAUUUGAUCAGCCUCGGAGGAACCGGAAGCUUGUGAAUUUUCUUCAGUCUGUUGAUUCCGAGGAGUGUACGGAUUUUCAGUCUGCACAGCUGCAUGAGUGGGCGUGGAGGCACUGCAAUCAAAGGCAGCAAAUGAAUACACAGUUGAUCUUGGUUUUAAAGGGGGAUGAGGAUUACUUCCAUACUGACAUUUAAAACAUGCCAGUGCAUCACAGCCAUUGUCCAGAAGAUACUUCAUCAUCAUAAUGUACCUCAUGCAGAAAACCAGAGCUGCUGGGAAGCUGGUGGGAUGAGUGGGCAGCAUGGCAUUAACAUUGGCACCGUACUUCACCAACAGGGUCACCAUUUCUAUAUUUCCUUUCCUCACAGCCACAAGCAGAGGGUUGAAUAUGUCCAGGUUUGGGUCAGCACCAGCUUCUAAAAGCAUAAUGGCGGCCUCAAUGUUUCUGUUCACCACAGCCGAGUAUAAAGCUGUGCUGCGGCGAUCCUCAUGCAGUUUUGACCAGUCGUCUGAGAGCAUGGCAUUGACAUCAUAUCCAGCCUCAAUCAGUAUUUCUAGAACGUCAUCUCUGUUACGCUCAGCUGCGAAAUGAAGGGGACUGAUGCCGGAGCGUCUCACUUUGGUUGUGCUGGUUUUAGGAAUUAACAUGGCGACAAUGCUGAAGAACAUUUAAAAAAAGAGACAUAUUUAUUUCUUCAGCAAUAAUCAGAUCCUUGAGAUUAUGAAGAAAGACUAAAAAAACUUCUGAAUAAGGAUAUCUACAUGAAAAGUAGGUGGUAUCUAAAAGAUUGGUUAUUUCUUGACUGUUUAACUCAAACACACACACACUUAAAAAGACAUUAGGAGAAUUACUUCUGGAACCAGCACUCCUGGAAAAUUGAACAGGCCCUAAUGUACUCUAUGGACCACUUAAUGAUGGGAUUGACCAGAUUAUAAGAAUAAUUUACCCAAUAAUAAAAAUUUGGCCAUCAUUC